rnacentral:lncRNA from 1 species
CCUUUUUGUUAAAUGGUGAACUUUCUUCUUCAGACGUUGGAUCGUGAACUUCAGCGGAAUCCCCUGUGGCAAGGGGAGUGCUUCGGCAGGACACUGCCAUCGGAGACAAAGGUGUCAAGGCGCAUCUCAGUGCAUAAAGCGAAACAAAAAAAGGAGGAACAGAGCGGAGAAGCCCUCCAAAAGGAGAAACCCAAUUUUAUUGAUUGAAUGUUUCUUAAAAACAAGAGGGAAAAAAAUUGCAAUAAAAGAAAAAUACAAGGUCAGAGGUCUCAGACC